rnacentral:rRNA from 1 species
GACGAACCGAGCGAACGUUGUUCGGAAUAACUGGGCUUAAAGGGCGCGUAGGCGGGCUGUCAAGUUUGGGGUGAAAUCCCGCGGCUCAACCGCGGAACUGCCUCAAAUACUGACGGUCUCGAGGGAGGUAGGGGCGAGCGGAACUGAUGGUGGAGCGGUGAAAUGCGUUGAUAUCAUCAGGAACUCCGGUGGCGAAGGCGGCUCGCUGGACCUCUUCUGACGCUGAGGCGCGAAAGCCAGGGGAGCAAACGGG